GGUUAAAAAGCUCGUAGUCGAAUCUGUGUCCCGCGCCGCCGGUUCAUCGUUCGCGGUGUCAACUGGCGUGCCGCGGGACGUCCUGCCGGUGGGCUUAGCUCGUCAGGGCGGCCCAACACAAUCCCGCCGCGGUGCUCUUCACUGAGUGUCGAGGUGGGCCGGCACGUUUACUUUGAACAAAUUAGAGUGCUUAAAGCAGGCUAAAACUUCGCCUGAAUACUGUGUGCAUGGAAUAAUGAAAUAGGACCUCGGUUCUAUUUUGUUGGUUUUCGGAACCCCGAGGUAAUGAUUAAUAGGAACGGAUGGGGGCAUUCGUAUUGCGACGUUAGAGGUGAAAUUCUUGGAUCGUCGCAAGACGGACAGAAGCGAAAGCAUUUGCCAAAAACGUUUUCAUUGAUCAAGAACGAAAGUUAGAGGUUCGAAGGCGAUCAGAUACCGCCCUAGUUCUAACCAUAAACGAUGCCAGCUAGCGAUCCGCCGACGUUCCUCCGAUGACUCGGCGGGCAGCUUCCGGGAAACCAAAGCUUUUGGGUUCCGGGGGAAGUAUGGUUGCAAAGCUGAAACUUAAAGGAAUUGACGGAAGGGCACCACCAGGAGUGGAGCCUGCGGCUUAAUUUGACUCAACACGGGAAACCUCACCAGGCCCGGACACCGGAAGGAUUGACAGAUUGAGAGCUCUUUCUUGAUUCGGUGGGUGGUGGUGCAUGGCCGUUCUUAGUUGGUGGAGCGAUUUGUCUGGUUAAUUCCGAUAACGAACGAGACUCUAGCCUGCUAACUAGGCGUAUUAGACAUCCUAAAGGCCCGCGAGUCCGGGUUUCGGCCCGCGGCUAGCGCGGUUUUUACUGUCUGCGUACAUUAUAUUCUUCUUAGAGGGACAGGCGGCUUCUAGCCGCACGAGAUUGAGCAAUAACAGGUCUGUGAUGCCCUUAGAUGUCCUGGGCCGCACGCGCGCUACACUGAAGGAAUCAGCGUGUCCUCCCUGGCCGAACGGUCCGGGUAACCCGCUGAACCUCCUUCGUGCUAGGGAUUGGGGCUUGCAAUUGUUCCCCAUGAACGAGGAAUUCCCAGUAAGCGCGAGUCAUAAGCUCGCGUUGAUUACGUCCCUGCCCUUUGUACACACCGCCCGUCGCUACUACCGAUUGAAUGAUUUAGUGAGGUCUUCGGACCGGUACGCGGUGGCGUUCCGACGUCGCCGAUGUUGCUGGGAAGAUGACCAAACUUGAUCAUUUAGAGGAAGUAAAAGUCGUAACAAGGUUUCCGUAGGUGAACCUGCGG
rnacentral:rRNA from 1 species